rnacentral:rRNA from 1 species
GACGAACGCUGGCGGCGUGCUUAACACAUGCAAGUCGAACGGAAAGGCCCUGCUUUUGUGGGGUGCUCGAGUGGCGAACGGGUGAGUAACACGUGAGUAACCUGCCCUUGACUUUGGGAUAACUUCAGGAAACUGGGGCUAAUACCGGAUAGGAGCUCCUGCUGCAUGGUGGGGGUUGGAAAGUUUCGGCGGUUGGGGAUGGACUCGCGGCUUAUCAGCUUGUUGGUGGGGUAAUGGCUUACCAAGGCUUUGACGGGUAGCCGGCCUGAGAGGGUGACCGGCCACAUUGGGACUGAGAUACGGCCCAGACCCCUACGGGAGGCAGCAGUGGGGAAUAUUGCACAAUGGGCGGAAGCCUGAUGCAGCAACGCCGCGUGCGGGAUGACGGCCUUCGGGUUGUAAACCGCUUUCGCCCGUGACGAAGCGUGAGUGACGGUAAUGGGUAAAGAAGCACCGGCUAACUACGUG